rnacentral:misc_RNA from 1 species
GAUGAAGAACGUAGCGAAAUGCGAUAAGUAAUGUGAAUUGCAGAAUUCAGUGAAUCAUCGAAUCUUUGAACGCACAUUGCGCCCGCCAGUAUUCUGGCGGGCAUGCCUGUCCGAGCGUCAUUUCAACCCUCGAACCCCUCCGGGGGGUCGGCGUUGGGGAUCGGCCCUGCCUUGGCGGUGGCCGUCUCCGAAAUACAGUGGCGGUCUCGCCGCAGCCUCUCCUGCGCAGUAGUUUGCACACUCGCAUCGGGAGCGCGGCGCGUCCACAGCCGUUAAACACCCAACUUCUGAAAUGUUGACCUCGGAUCAGGUAGGAAUACCCGCUGAACUUAAGCAUAUCAAUAGCGGAGGA